rnacentral:rRNA from 1 species
UACGUAGGGGGCAAGCGUUGUCCGGAAUCAUUGGGCGUAAAGAGCGUGUAGGCGGUCCGGUCAGUCGGUUGUGAAAGUCAAGGGCUCAACCCUUGAAUGCCGGCCGAUACUGCCGGGCUAGAGUCCGGAAGAGGUGAGUGGAAUUCCUGGUGUAGCGGUGAAAUGCGUAGAUAUCUGGAGGAACACCGGUGGCGAAGGCGGCGUCCUGGACCAAUACUGACACUGAGGAGCGAAAGCCAGGGGAGCAAACAGG